UACGAAGGGAGCUAGCGUUGUUCGGAAUCACUGGGCGUAAAGCGCACGUAGGCGGAUGUGUCAGUCAGGGGUGAAAUCCCGGAGCUCAACUUCGGAACUGCCCUUGAUACAGCACGUCUUGAGUCCGGAAGAGGUGGGUGGAAUUCCUGGUGUAGAGGUGAAAUUCGUAGAUAUCAGGAGGAACACCGGCGGCGAAGGCGGCAUCCUGGACCAUUACUGACGCUGAGGCGCGAAAGCUAGGGGAGCAAACGGG
rnacentral:rRNA from 1 species